rnacentral:rRNA from 1 species
GUCUAUGGCCAUGCCACCCUGAACGAGCCCGAUGCCUGAUCUCAGAAGCUUAAGCAGGGUUGGGCCUGAUUAGUACUUGGAUGGGAGACCACCUAGGAAGACCAGGUGCUGUAGUCA